UUCUCGAAGUUAUUUUGUACAAGUGAAGCGUUAACGAUUUUAUUGGAAAUAAUUCUAUUGUAAAAGAAUAUUUGAAGCAAUAGCUUUUAAUGUUGUUUCUCUUUACAGAGCAACAACUUUACUUUUGUUUCAAUAAGCAGCAAUCAGCAUAUUACA
rnacentral:lncRNA from 1 species